AAUAUUGGACAAUGGGCGAAAGCCUGAUCCAGCCAUGCCGCGUGUGUGAAGAAGGUCUUCGGAUUGUAAAGCACUCUAAGUUGGGAGGAAGGGCAGUAAGUUAAUACCUUGCUGUUUUGACGUUACCGACAGAAUAAGCACCGGCUAACUUCGUGCCAGCAGCCGCGGUAAUACGAAGGGUGCAAGCGUUAAUCGGAAUUACUGGGCGUAAAGCGGGCGUAAGGGUUUUGUUAAAUUGGAAGGUGAAAGCCCGGGCUCAACCUGGGGAAUGGUUUAAAAACGUGCAAACUUAGAUAAGGGAAGGGGUUGUGGGAUUUCCUGGGGUAGCGUGGAAAGGCGAAGUUAAGGAAAGGACCCCAAGGGCGAAAGGCGACACCUGGGCUAAUAAUUGACGCUGAGUGCCAAAGCGUGGGGGACAAACA
rnacentral:rRNA from 1 species